UAAGAUAAGGUGUUCAUGUGCAACUUGG
rnacentral:piRNA from 1 species